UACGAAGGGGACUAGCGUUGUUCGGAAUUACUGGGCGUAAAGCGCGCGUAGGCGGAUCGCUAAGUCAGGGGUGAAAUCCCAGGGCUCAACCCUGGAACUGCCUUUGAUACUGACGAUCUGGAGAUCGGGAGAGGUUGGUGGAAUUCCGAGUGUAGAGGUGAAAUUCGUAGAUAUUCGGAGGAACACCAGAAGCGAAGGCGGCCAACUGGCCCGGAUACUGACGCUGGAGGCGCGAAAGCGUGGGGAGCAAACAGG
rnacentral:rRNA from 1 species